GAUGAACGCUGGCUGCGUGCCUAAUACAUGCAAGUCGAGCGAACGGAUGAUUAGCUUUCUCCUCUGUCGUUAGCGGCGGACGGGUGAGUAACACGUGGAUAACCUACCUAUAUGACUGGGAUAACUUCGGCAAACCGGAGCUACUACCUGCUAAUAUCUUUAACCGCAUGGUUCAAUAGUGAAAGACGGUUUUUCUUUCACUUAUAGAUGGAUCCGCGACGCAUUAGAUAGUUGGUAAGGUAACGGCUUACCAAGGCAACGACACGUAGCCGACCUGAGAGGAGGAGAGGCCACACUAGAAGGGAGACGCGGUACAGACUAAAAAGGGAGGCAGCAGAGGGGAAAGGUACGCAAUGGGAGAAAGCAUGGCGGAGAAACGCCGAGUGAGGGGCAGAGGUAUGCGGAUAGGGAAACUCUGUUGUUAGGGAGGAACAAAUGUGUAAGGAACGAGGCACGUAUUGAAGGUACCGAAUGAGAAAGCAACGGCUAACUACGUG
rnacentral:rRNA from 1 species